ACAGUUUAUUAGGGCAAAUGGGGGUUAGGCCGUCAAACGAGAAAAGAGACAAAAACAGAAGCUCGCGGGACAAGGGUCUAAGGAAUCCUCCUAUGAAAUCAUCUUCAUUAUUCAUUAUCAUGAAUGUCAGAUAAGAAAGCUGUUCAAAAAGCAGAUAAGAAAGGGAAAAAAGAAAGAAAGAAAGGGCCCCUGAAAUAAAAGAAACCAAAACCCAAUAAAACUAAGAAGAAACCCCCAAAAAAAAAAAAAAACUGUUCUAUCCUCUUCUCUUGUAUGGGAAAGUCACUUCCUUCCACGGGCAAACUCCUGGAACUCUCCAAAAUCGUCUCUUCACACAAACCAAGACACAAAAGAUUCAUCGUACCUGGUGUUCCAUCGCGGCCGAGUGAGGUCCGGGUUGACUCGGAGCGAUUGAAGGUGAAAAAGAUGGAAGAAAGUUCUCUUAUUUUGGAUGGCCAAAAACGGGUGCCAUUAGGCCAGGUUGUCUCUGAUUGUGCUAAAAGAUGGUUUGAAGAUACACUAAAGGAAGCAAAGACUGGUGACAUUUCCAUGCAAGUUCUUGUGGGUCAGAUGUAUUUUAAUGGCUAUGGCGUCCCUAAAGAUGUUGAAAAGGGAAGUGCUUGGAUUAGUAGAGCUUCAAAACGUCGAGCUUCAGUAUGGAAAGUAAGCAAUAAACGUCCAGGUUAUAAUGGAAGUGACUCAGAUUCAGAGGAUGACAGGAAAUAAGAUCAAACUUUUUUAGUUCUGGCAAAAUCACAAUUGAGAACACCUGUGUCUUAUUCGGCUGCAUUGUCUCUUUGGAAGUCCAGAUGCUGAUGAAAUCUUUUGCGUCAUUUGAUUCAGUUUUUUGUUUUGUAUCACCCAACUCUAGUUUAGCAGGACGUGGAAAUGAAGAGGAUGCUCUAAAGGUCUCGCUUGGAAACAUCUUCGAUUAUGUAUUUAUUUGGAAAAAGUUUUGCACGUUUUGUUAACUUGUAAAUCCUUGUCGUUGGGUACAUGGUCCUUGGGGCGUGGACAAAGACAGGAAUAAUGCAUUUGUAAACUGUUCCUCUGAUAUUUUCUCUUACCCAUACGCAAUGAUUAUCAAACAUUCAUGGUUUUUGCA